rnacentral:rRNA from 1 species
AAUGAACGCUGGCGGCAGGCCUAACGCAUGCAAGUCGAACGGAUCCUUCGGGAUUAGUGGCGGGCGGGUGAGUAACGCGUGGGAACAUACCCAAAGGUACGGAAUAGCCUCGGGAAACUGGGAGUAAUACCGUAUGUGCUCGAAAGAGGAAAGAUUUAUCGCCUUUGGAUUGGCCCGCGUUGGAUUAGGUAGUUGGGGGGGUAAUGGCCUACCAAGCCGACGAUCCAUAGCUGGUUUGAGAGGAUGAUCAGCCAGACUAGGACUGAGACACGGCCCAGACUCCUACGGGCGGAAGCAGUGGGGCAUCUUAGACAAUGGGGGCAACCCUGAUCUAGCCAUGCCGCGUGAUCGAUGACGGGCUUAGGGUUGUAAAGAUCUUUCAGGUGGGAAGAUAAUGACUGUACCACCAGAAUAAGCCCCGGCUAACUCCGUGCCAGCCGCCGCCGUAA